rnacentral:rRNA from 1 species
CACGUAGGGCGCAAGCGUUGUCCGGAAUUAUUGGGCGUAAAGAGCUCGUAGGCGGUCUGUUGCGUCCGCUGUGAAAACUCGGGGCUUAACCCCGAGCCUGCAGUGGAUACGGGCAGACUAGAGGUAGGUAGGGGAGAAUGGAAUUCCCGGUGUAGCGGUGAAAUGCGCAGAUAUCGGGAGGAACACCGGUGGCGAAGGCGGUUCUCUGGGCCUUGCCUGACGCUGAGGCGCGAAAGCUAGGGGAGCGAACAGG